ACGGCUCAGUAACACGUGGCUAACCUACCCUUAGGACGGAGACACCCCCGGGAAACUGGGGCUAAUACCCGAUAGGUGAGGAGGCCUAGAAUGGUUCUUCGCUGAAAAGGCGUUGAAACCAUGCUUUUCAACGUCGCCUAAGGAUGGGGCCGCGCCCGAUCAGGUUGUUGGUGAGGUAACGGCUCACCAAGCCUAUAACCGGUACGGGCCGUGAGAGCGGGAGCCCGGAGAUGGGCACUGAGACAAGGGCCCAGGCCCUACGGGGCGCAGCAGUCGCGAAAACUCCGCAAUGCGCGAAAGCGUGACGGGGCUACCCCGAGUGCCGUCCGCUGAGGAUGGCUUUUCCCCGGUGUAAUGAGCCGGGGGAAUAAGGAGAGGGCAAGACUGGUGUCAGCCGCCGCGGUAAUACCAGCUCUCCGAGUAGUAGGGACGAUUAUUGGGCUUAAAGCGUCCGUAGCCGGCUUAGCAAGUCUCCUGUUAAAUUCAGCGACCUAAUCGUUGAGCCGCGGGAGAUACUACUAGGCUAGGAGGCGGGAGAGGCCGACGGUAUUCCCGGGGUAGGGGUGAAAUCCUAUAAUCCCGGGAGGACCACCAGUGGCGAAGGCUGUCGGCUAGAACGCGCUCGACGGUGAGGGACGAAAGCUGGGGGAGCGAACCGGAUUAGAUACCCGGGUAGUCCCAGCUGUAAACGAUGCGGGCUAGGUGUUGAGGUGGCUACGAGCCACUUCAGUGCCGCAGGGAAGCCAUUAAGCCCGCCGCCUGGGGAUGUACGGCCGCAAGGCUGAAACUUAAAGGAAUUGGCGGGGGAG
rnacentral:rRNA from 1 species